CCCCACAUAUUCAUGAUCUGGCCUCAAAUCAGGUAGGGCUACCCGCUGAACUUAAGCAUAUCAAUAAGCGGAGGAAAAGAAACUAACUAGGAUUCCCUUAGUAACGGCGAGUGAACCGGGAUGAGCUCAAAUUUAAAAUCUGGCGUCUUUCAGGCGUCCGAGUUGUAAUCUAUAGAGGCGUUUUCCGCGCCGGACCGCGUCCAAGUCUCUUGGAAUAGAGUAUCAAAGAGGGUGACAAUCCCGUACUUGACGCGACAACCGGUGCUCUGUGAUACGUUCUCAAUGAGUCGAGUUGUUUGGGAAUGCAGCUCUAAAUGGGUGGUAAAUUCCAUCUAAGGCUAAAUAUUGGCGAGAGACCGAUAGCGAACAAGUACCGUGAGGGAAAGAUGAAAAGCACUUUGGAAAGAGAGUUAAACAGCACGUGAAAUUGUUAAAAGGGAAACGAUUGAAGUCAGUCGUGUGAAAGGUAUUCAGCCGUCUCUGGCGGUGUAUUUGCCUUUCACGGGUCAACAUCAGUUUGAUCCGGUAGAAAAAGGCGGGAGGAAGGUGGCACCCUCGGGUGUGUUAUAGCCUCCUGUCAUAUGUGCCGGACCAGACUGAGGAACGCAGCUUGCCGCAAGGCCGGGGUUCGCCCACGUACAAGCUUAGGAUGUUGACAUAAUGGCUUUAAACGACCCGUCUUGAAACACGGACCAAGGAGUCUAACAUAUCUGCGAGUGUUUGGGUG
rnacentral:rRNA from 1 species